CUGCCAUUUAGGAGUUAAAUCCCUUUGUUUAUGAACCCUAGUCACACCUCCCUGCAUGUGACUUGCACAUCCUUCCAUAAACACUUCCUGUAAAGAGAGCCCUAUUUAGGCUUUCUUUAUUGCAAGUUCUGUUUAAUUAAGAUUUUCUUAUCCCCUGCUAUGUUAAUAGCUUGCUAGACCCUGCAAGAGCCUCCUGAUUGUGAUUAAGUUCAAUUUAGAGAUUGAGAUACAAUUAUUUAAGGUAAAUUACAUCUGUUUGAAAGUGAAACCAGUUUUUUUUUUUCUUCAUGCAGGCUCUGUCAAUCAUAGCCAGGGGAGGUGUGGCUAGGGCUGCAUAAACAGAAACAAAGUGAUUUAACUCCUAAAUGACAGUGAAUUGAGCAGUGAAAUUGCAGGGGAAUGAU